GGUCUUAUAUUCAUUAAUGAUACUAGAUUGCAAAUUUAGAGGAGUAAAUAGUUUACUAAGGCUU
rnacentral:tRNA from 1 species